rnacentral:rRNA from 1 species
UACGAAGGGUGCAAACGUUGCUCGGAAUCAUUGGGCGUAAAGCGCACGUAGGCGGCUUCAAAAGUCGGAUGUGAAAUCCCGUGGCUCAACCAUGGACGUGCAUUCGAAACUGCGAAGCUUGAGUAUGGAAGAGGGUCGCGGAAUUCCCGGUGUAGAGGUGAAAUUCGUAGAUAUCUGGAGGAACACCGGUGGCGAAGGCGGCAUCCUGGACCAAUAUUGACGCUGAGGAGCGAAAGCCAGGGGAGCAAACGGG